rnacentral:rRNA from 1 species
UACAGAGGGUGCAAGCGUUAAUCGGAAUUACUGGGCGUAAAGCGUGCGUAGGUGGUUCUUUAAGUCAGGUGUGAAAUCCCUGGGCUCAACCUGGGAACUGCAUUUGAUACUGGAGAGCUAGAGUGUGGUAGAGGGUGGUGGAAUUCCCGGUGUAGCGGUGAAAUGCGUAGAUAUCGGGAGGAACAUCAGUGGCGAAGGCGGCCACCUGGACCAACACUGACACUGAGGCACAAAAGCGUGGGUAGCAAACAGG